GUGCUGUGAUGCUGUUAUCAACACAUCAUUCUGAAAACUUGUGUUGAAAAUUUCCGACUGAGCACU